rnacentral:rRNA from 1 species
AGGGAAUCUUCCGCAAUGGACGAAAGUCUGACGGAGCAACGCCGCGUGAGUGAUGAAGGUUUUCGGAUCGUAAAGCUCUGUUGCCAGGGAAGAACGUCCGUUAGAGUAACUGCUAACGGAGUGACGGUACCUGAGAAGAAAGCCCCGGCUAACUACGUGCCAGCAGCCGCGGUAAUACGUAGGGGGCGAGCGUUGUCCGGAAUUAUUGGGCGUAAAGCGCGCGCAGGCGGCUGUUUAAGGCUGGUGGUUAAUCCUGGGGUUCAACCCCGGGUCGCACUGGAAACUGGACAGCUUGAGUGCAGAAGAGGAGAGUGGAAUUCCACGUGUAGCGGUGAAAUGCGUAGAGAUGUGGAGGAACACCAGUGGCGAAGGCGGCUCUCUGGUCUGUAACUGACGCUGAGGCGCGAAAGCGUGGGGAGCAAAC